rnacentral:rRNA from 1 species
UACGUAGGGAGCAAGCGUUGUCCGGAAUCAUUGGGCGUAAAGCGCGCGUAGGCGGCCUCAUAAGUCCGUUGUGAAAGUCAAAGGCUCAACCUUUGAAAGCCGAUGGAUACUGUGAGGCUAGAGUCCGGAAGAGGCGAGUGGAAUUCCUGGUGUAGCGGUGGAAUGCGCAGAUAUCAGGAGGAACACCGGUGGCGAAGGCGGAUCUCUGGGCCUUACCUGACGCUCAGGUGCGAAAGCUAGGGGAGCGAACAGG